rnacentral:rRNA from 1 species
CCAACUGUGUGAAUUAAUGUGAACUGCAUACUGCUUUGAACAUCGACAUCUUGAACGCACAUUGCGGCCACGGGUUUUCCUGUGGCCACGCCUGUCCGGGGGUCGG